ACUCCUACGGGAGGCAGCAGUGGGGAAUUUUGGACAAUGGGCGCAAGCCUGAUCCAGCAAUGCCGCGUGAGUGAAGAAGGCCUUCGGGUUGUAAAGCUCUUUCAGUCGAGAAGAAAAGGCUGCAGUGAAUAACUGUAGUUUAUGACGGUAUCGACAGAAGAAGCACCGGCUAACUACGUGCCAGCAGCCGCGGUAAUACGUAGGGUGCGAGCGUUAAUCGGAAUUACUGGGCGUAAAGGGUGCGCAGGCGGUUUUGUAAGUCAGAUGUGAAAUCCCCGGGCUUAACCUGGGAAUUGCGUUUGAAACUACAAGACUAGAGUGUGGCAGAGGGAGGUGGAAUUCCAUGUGUAGCAGUGAAAUGCGUAGAGAUAUGGAAGAACAUCGAUGGCGAAGGCAGCCUCCUGGGUUAACACUGACGCUCAUGCACGAAAGCGUGGGGAGCAAACAGGAUUAGAUACCCUGGUAGUC
rnacentral:rRNA from 1 species